UAGUGUUACGGCUCUUUUAAAAUUCGUCUAAUAGGCUUUCUGGUUUUUGCUGGAAAGCCCCC
ensembl:snRNA U7 U7 small nuclear RNA